rnacentral:rRNA from 1 species
UCAUUAAAUAAUUAAAGUUUCGGCGGUAUAAGAUGACUAUGCGUUCUAUUAGUUAGUUGGUAAGGUAACGGCUUACCAAGACUUCGAUAGAUAGGGGUCCUGAGAGGGAGAUCCCCCACACUGGUACUGAGACACGGACCAGACUCCUACGGGAGGCAGCAGUGAGGAAUAUUGGACAAUGGAGGCAACUCUGAUCCAGCCAUGCCGCGUGUAGGAAGACUGCCCUAUGGGUUGUAAACUACUUUUAUAUGGGAAGAAUAAGAUCUACGUGUAGAUCGAUGACGGUACCAUAAGAAUAAGCACCGGCUAACUCCGUGCCAGCAGCCGCGGUAAUACGGAGGGUGCAAGCGUUAUCCGGAAUCAUUGGGUUUAAAGGGUCCGUAGGCGGGCAUAUAAGUCAGUGGUGAAAGUCUGUGGCUNAACCAUAGAAUUGCCAUUGAUACUGUAUGUCUUGAAUUAUUGUGAAGUGGUUAGAAUAUGUAGUGUAGCGGUGAAAUGCUUAGAGAUUACAUAGAAUACCGAUUGCGAAGGCAGAUCACUAACAAUAUAUUGACGCUGAUGGACGAAAGCGUAGGUAGCGAACAGGAUUAGAUACCCUGGUAGUCUACGCCGUAAACGAUGGAUACUAGUUGUUUGGUUUUCGGACUGAGUGACUAAGCGAAAGUGAUAAGUAUCCCACCUGGGGAGUACGUUCGCAAGAAUGAAACUCAAAGGAAUUGACGGGGGCCCGCACNAGCGGUGGAGCAUGUGGUUUAAUUCGAUGAUACGCGAGGAACCUUACCAGGGCUUAAAUGUAGUCUGACAGCUUUAGAGAUAGAGUUUUCUUCGGACAGAUUACAAGGUGCUGCAUGGUUGUCGUCAGCUCGUGCCGUGAGGUGUCAGGUUAAGUCCUAUAACGAGCGCAACCCCUGUGGUUAGUUGCCAGCGAGUAAUGUCGGGAACUCUAGCCAGACUGCCGGUGCAAACCGUGAGGAAGGUGGGGAUGACGUCAAAUCAUCACGGCCCUUACGUCCUGGGCCACACACGUGCUACAAUGGUAGGGACAGAGAGCAGCCACUUAGCGAUAAGGAGCGAAUCUAUAAACCCUAUCUCAGUUCGGAUUGGAGUCUGCAACUCGACUCCAUGAAGCUGGAAUCGCUAGUAAUCGGAUAUCAGCCAUGAUCCGGUGAAUACGUUCCCGGGCCUUGUACACACCGCCCGUCAAGCCANNGAAGCUGGGGGUACCUGAAGUCCGUC